UACGAAGGGGGCUAGCGUUGCUCGGAAUCACUGGGCGUAAAGGGUGCGUAGGCGGGUCUUUAAGUCAGGGGUGAAAUCCUGGAGCUCAACUCCAGAACUGCCUUUGAUACUGAAGAUCUUGAGUUCGGGAGAGGUGAGUGGAACUGCGAGUGUAGAGGUGAAAUUCGUAGAUAUUCGCAAGAACACCAGUGGCGAAGGCGGACUCACUGGCCCGAUACUGACGCUGAGGCACGAAAGCG
rnacentral:rRNA from 1 species